rnacentral:rRNA from 1 species
UACGGAGGGAGCUAGCGUUGUUCGGAAUUACUGGGCGUAAAGCGCACGUAGGCGGCUAUUCAAGUCGGUGGUGAAAUCCUGGAGCUCAACUCCAGGACUGCCUUCGAUACUGGGAAGCUCGAGUCCGGGAGAGGUGAGUGGAACUGCGAGUGUAGAGGUGAAAUUCGUAGAUAUUCGCAAGAACACCAGUGGCGAAGGCGGCUCACUGGCCCGGUACUGACGCUGAGGUGCGAAAGCGUGGGGAGCAAACAGG